GACGAACGCUGGCGGCGUGCCUAAUACAUGCAAGUCGAGCGGAUCACUUCGGUGAUCAGCGGCGGACGGGUGAGUAACACGUGGGCAACCUGCCUGUAAGACUGGGAUAACUUCGGGAAACCGGAGCUAAUACGGGAUAAUCCUUUUCCUCACAUGAGGGAACGCUGAAAGACGGUUUCGGCUGUCACUUACAGAUGGGCCCGCGGCGCAGUAGCUAGUUGGUGAGGUAACGGCUCACCAAGGCGACGAUGCGUAGCCGACCUGAGAGGGUGAUCGGCCACACUGGGACUGAGACACGGCCCAGACUCCUACGGGAGGCAGCAGUAGGGAAUCUUCCGCAAUGGACGAAGGUCUGACGGAGCAACGCCGCGUGAGCGAUGAAGGCCUUCGGGUCGUAAAGCUCUGUUGUUAGGGAAGAACAAGUAUCGGAGUAACUGCCGGUACCUUGACGGUACCUAACCAGAAAGCCACGGCUAACUACGUGCCAGCAGCCGCGGUAACAC
rnacentral:rRNA from 1 species